AUACGGAGGGUGCGAGCGUUAAUCGGAAUUACUGGGCGUAAAGCGCGCGUAGGCGGUUACGUAAGUCGGGUGUGAAAGCCCCGGGCUCAACCUGGGAAUUGCAUUCGAAACUGCGUAGCUAGAGUCUGAUAGAGGGAAGUGGAAUUUCCGGUGUAGCGGUGAAAUGCGUAGAUAUCGGAAGGAACAUCAGUGGCGAAGGCGACUUCCUGGAUCAAGACUGACGCUCAGGUGCGAAAGCGUGGGGAGCAAACAGGAUUAGAAACCCCGGUAGUCC
rnacentral:rRNA from 1 species